rnacentral:misc_RNA from 1 species
UGUCAAAAAUGUAUUAUUUGCUCAAUUUGCUAUUAUCAUGUGAACAUAAAAUGAUCAGAAGAUUCAAAGAAUUCGAAGAAAAACUUCCAAAUUUCCCAGACAAAACAGGGAAAAGCCCUUUUUCUUGGUUGGUCAAAAGAAAUACUAAUAUUGAUUAAAAUUAAAAGAAAAAGUGAUGGCAGUAACAGAUGAUCAACAAUUUUGUUUAAAAUGGAAUAAUUUUCAAGCGAAUAUAACUUCUCAAUUUGAGACUCUUCGAGAUGAUGAAGAUUUUACUGAUGUUACAAUUGCCUGUGAAGGGCAAAAGCUACAGGCACAUAAGGUUGUGUUGUCAGCCUGUAGCCCAUUCUUUAAAGAACUCUUUAAGAGCAACCCUUGUCCCCAUCCAAUCAUAUUUAUGCGAGAUGUAGAAGCUCGGCAUAUCACAGCUUUGAUGGAAUUUAUGUAUGCGGGAGAAGUAAACGUAGCUCAAACUCAUCUCUCAGCAUUUCUCAAAACAGCUGAAUCGUUAAAAAUCAGAGGUCUAACUGAUACCUCAUCUGAUCUCGCCAAAGAAGAAGAUACUCAAGAUACUGUAUAUUCUCAGAAAAGUGCAAAACAUAAGUUAGAUAGGUCUCCAAAUCCAAAUAGUACUGUUACUUCUAGUCAAGAUGUUCCCGAGGCUUUGCCUAUAGUUUCUAGUCCUCCAGCAAAAAAACUUUGUAAAGACGAUACAGAACUAAAUUCUGAAAGGCAAGACGAGGCUGUGAAUUCUCACGGAAUAAAAGAUAUCGUGAGCGAAGAGAAGACAAAAGAGAUUGCCAAAAAUUUCGAACCUAAACUUGAGUUACCCGAUUAUUUAAGUGACGAUGCAGACGACGUUAGGGAUGAUAACGAUAUCGAAGGGCUGGCAACCAGAUUAUAUCCAGCAACGGACAUCAAGGAAUUGUCAGGCGGAAUGGAAAUUAUACCUCAAUCUUCAGGCUUCCUAGAUAAGGAGUGUAAACAGGAAUUUUUAGGGCCAGGCAACGACAUGAGAAAACUUCACUCGCUGGAUCCCAGACCGUGCGACGAAUGCGGCAAAGUAUACAGUAAUCUUUCUAAUUUGCGACAACAUAUGAGACUAAUACAUUACCCCACAUACGUGCAGUGCGUCUUUUGCCAGAAACAGUUCAAGACAGACCUUUAUCUCAGAAGACAUGUCAUUAGUGCUCAUAACAACGUGAAUGCAACUUACUAUAGACCUGGCCUGCAAAGUGACAAAAUAGCUAAUUCCAAAUAUGUUGAUGGGCAGGAUAAUAAAAAUGACAUUUACCUAAAAACCGGAUUAUUUAAAACGCAGUAUUAGAAUUUAAAAAUGUUCUUGUAGACUUUAAAGUUACUCUUAUCAAAGUACGAAAUAAUUGUCAGGGACAUGGAAUAUGCCUUCCUGCUUCUGGGUUAUUACUCACGCCCACAGAAAAAUGUGUAAAUAAAAUAAACGUAACCUACCUUUUAAAGAUAUAAUCAGUUGAUUUCUUUAAAUCACAAUUUUAGAGAAAAGAAAAUAGUCGAACACACGUUUAAACCCUUUUGGUUGCGUUAAUAACAUUAUAUGAGAGUUAUUUGCCAGCAAUUUAAUUGAAUUCAUGAUCAAGGUCAUUCAAGGUUAAAUCUCAUUUGAUUGUCUGAAACACUGGCCAGGAAUGAAUUGUAUAUUGUUAAAACUGUGAAGUGUAUAUGCAGGUGCAUUGACAAGAACAAAGUGAACAAACUACACAAGAAACAAGAUUUCUAAAUUGAUCCAAAAAUAGAUCUGGAAUAGACUGUGCAUUCUUCUUCCUCUUCUUCUGCUUCUUCUUCUUUUAAUAGGACUAUGUCCUGUUUCUUCUGUUACAGUUUCUGCUGCGAUCCGGAGCUCCAGCUCUUGUACCAUCGUUUUUUGGGUUAGCUCUCUCAAUGUGUCUUCGUUUCGUAUCCUAUCUCUGAGUGUGAUACCUCUUAUGGAUCAUAGGGUUUUCAUCUCUGUUGUUCUCAUUAUUUGUUAGGUCUUUAUUGUCUCAGCAGCAUAUGUCAGUACGGGUCGAAGGUCUAACACAUAACUUAUAAAUAUGCGGACUUUGCUUUCAGUACUCAUAUAUUUAUCCCGCCAGAUUAUAUCCCUCAGGAAACCAGAUAUUUUCGCUGCUUUCGUUGCCUGUUGUUUUAUUUCUUGCCACAGAUGCCUGUCGCUAGACAAUGCAGGUAAACUAGAAGUCAAACAAUAGGGAACUUGCACUAAAAAAAUGUUUUGCAUAAAAUUGUUAAUUUAUGUUUUAGAAUGUUAUAUUCAAAAUAUUACGUCUUAACAAUGAAUAGUGUACGUACAACAUCUGAUCAAAGUUCCGCGCCUAAAAUUUUCGUUUCAAACAACUUCAAAAGCGAGAGCUGGGGUCUGACGUCAUAGGCCACUCGUAUCGUUUGCCCGUUCGGUGGGCUAUUGCAUUUAAUGCAGUUUGCCCAUAGAUAAAUAAUAUAGUUGAAAUAUCUUGUUUUACUCUGUGGCAAAAAUGAUUUUUUCUGUGACAGGCAAAAUAUUAACAUUUUAUCUCUGUUGACAUGUAUCAAAAUGUUCUUUUUUAUGAAAUUACUUUUGUCGUUUCUUGUGUUGAAGAACAAAGAAGAAACAAGUAACUUAAAAAUAAACAAAACUUUUAGUAAUAAAAGUAAGAGUAACUAAAAAAUAUUGGUGCUACUAUAGUAUGCGGUCUACAGUCGGGUUUCUACUAUAGCUUGCGGUCUACCGAGGGAUGCGGUGUAAGUAUAAGCUGAGAUGAUAAAGAUACUAACUUGUAAAAUUACAAUAAUGAUUCUUCUUAUUUAUGCGUAUUAUUAACUUUGUAAAGAAGGAUUUUGUUGGCUAUGUACACGUUCUAUCGGUACAUCUGCUAAUCACCAUAAUCUUUUCUCAGAAGGCUUUGAACACAAUAAUGAAAGGCUCCAUAGGUACUAAUAAACAUUACAAUAAAAUAUAAUCUUUAUUAUAAUGCAAAUUACACCGUAAUCUUUUCCAGGAUAUACGAAAUCCUUCGAUUAGAGGUAGGUAGAUCAAACCCACGGGGUAAACCGUAUACUAUAAUAU